rnacentral:rRNA from 1 species
UACAGAGGUCUCAAGCGUUGUUCGGAUUCAUUGGGCGUAAAGGGUGCGUAGGCGGCGCGGUAAGUCGGGUGUGAAAUCUUGGAGCUUAACUCCGAAACUGCAUUCGAUACUGCCGUGCUUGAGGACUGGAGAGGAGACUGGAAUUUACGGUGUAGCGGUGAAAUGCGUAGAUAUCGUAAGGAAGACCAGUGGCGAAGGCGGGUCUCUGGACAGUUCCUGACGCUGAAGCUCGAAAGCUAGGGGAGCAAACGGG